rnacentral:tRNA from 1 species
GGGUAUAUAGCUCAGUGGCAGGGUGCACGCUUAACAUGUACAAGGUCCUGGGUUCAAUUCCCAGUACCUCCG